rnacentral:misc_RNA from 1 species
AUUUAUCAAAAUAUAUCUAGUGCUUUAUACCUUUAACCAAUAUUUUGUCUAAGAUAUGAACAAAUUAAUUUGUAUGGAAUAAGUAGACAAUUAAUAUUAAGUAUAAUAUUAAUUAUAAAAGUACAUAUCUAAGUUAUAUAUGUAAAAGAUAGACUAAUGUUAAAUCUAAAUCUUAACCUUUUAAAAAUUUACAGUUUAAAGAGAGAGAUAUUAUAAAAAAAAUACUAGGAAAGGGAUACUAUAGAGAGUAAAAAUAAUUUAUGAAUAGAUUAGUUAGUGUUAAUAAAAAAAAAUAAACGAGAGACUGUAAAGAGAGAGAAAAUAAGAAUAAUGAUUAGAAUGAUUAGUAUUAAAUUUGGAGUUUAAUAUUUUAAAAGUUUAAAAUAUAGAGAGAAAGAGGAAGAGAGAGAUGAACUCAUAUUUUAAGUCAUACAAUCGCCACCAAAACUACAUAAUUA